GGGCGGAGUCUAGAAGAUGGCCGAUCAUCGUGAAGAUUUGGGUGGAGUCCGUCCGUCGUGAAGAAUCCGAUCGACGCUAGUGGGGGCUUAUCCGCCAGCAAAACUUGGGAGUGUUGCGGAGGCUCGGCCGCCUGGGAGGUUUGAAGAGACGUCGUUGGAGGUCGGAAGUCGGUUGGAUCCCCGGAGGGUCACUCCUGUCGCGAACUUCGGCUGGGUGGUAUUUUAUACCCAACAAGUGUUAAGAUGGA
rnacentral:lncRNA from 1 species